rnacentral:rRNA from 1 species
GACGAACGCUGGCGGCGUGCCUAAUACAUGCAAGUAGGACGCAGUUGCGAACGGGUGAGUAACGCGUAGGUAACUACCUAUUAGAGGGGGAUAACUAUUGGAAACGAUAGCUAAUACCGCAUACUAGUAGAUGGACCUGCGUUGUAUUAGCUAGUAGGUAGGGUAAUGGCCUACCUAGGCAACGAUACAUAGCCGACCUGAGGGGGUGAUCGGCAAAACGUGGACUGAGACACGGGCCAGACUCCUACGGGGGGCAGCAGGAGGGAAGUUUCGGGAAGGGGGCGAACGCUGACCGAGCAACGCCGGGUGAGUGAAGAAGGUUUUCGGAUCGUAAAGCUAUGUUGUUAAGGAAGCGGUACUUAACCAGAAAGGGACGGCUAACUACGUGCCAGCAGCCGCGGUAAUAC